GCCUUCGUGGUGUAAUGGUCAGCACACUGAGCCGGUAUUUCAGAGGUCCGCGGUUCGAUUCCCAGCGAAGGCG
rfam:Stegodyphus mimosarum contig98645, whole genome shotgun sequence.